GAUGAACGCUGGCGGCGUGCCUAAUACAUGCAAGUCGAGCGAACGGACGAGAAGCCUGCUUUUCUGAUGUUAGCGGCGGACGGGUGAGUAACACGUGGAUAACCUACCUAUAAGACUGGGAUAACUUCGGGAAACCGGAGCUAAUACCGGAUAAUAUUUUGAACCGCAUGGUUCAAAAGUGAAAGACGGUCUUGCUGUCACUUAUAGAUGGAUCCGCGCUGCAUUAGCUAGUUGGUAAGGUAACGGCUUACCAAGGCAACGAUGCAUAGCCGACCUGAGAGGGUGAUCGGCCACACUGGAACUGAGGCACGGUCCAGACUCCUACGGGAGGCAGCAGUAGGGAAUCUUCCGCAAUGGGCGAAAGCCUGACGGAGCAACGCCGCGUGAGUGAUGAAGGUCUUCGGAUCGUAAAACUCUGUUAUUAGGGAAGAACAUAUGUGUAAGUAACUGUGCACAUCUUGACGGUACCUAAUCAGAAAGCCACGGCUAACUACGUG
rnacentral:rRNA from 1 species